rnacentral:lncRNA from 1 species
CUCACUUGAGCACAAUCCAAGAUGAAAGUUUCUGGGUUGUGUCCCCUUCGCUUCCUCUCACCCUCGCUCCCCCGCGGAGCCAAGGAGCCAGCAAUUGUGCAAGAGGAGACCGGCGCACAGGGCGCGUAUCACGGAGCGCAUGAGCCAGCAAGCCGAACGCCUCCAGCGCGGCCGGGACGGAGGAGCGGCUCUGGGGAAGACGCCGAGGCUGCGCCCGAGUCUGAACGAAGCUGCCUCCAGCCACAUGAAGUCAGUAGGGCUGUUCUGAGGGGCCCCGAGAUUUGAUGACUGUUUUUUAGGUUGCGGAACCUACUCCGAGAGAGCAAACACUUUGGACGAAGUGAUUCAUAUUGAUAGAUACAUUUGUUGGGAGGUGGCUUUUUUCAUUCUCAACAGAAAACAAAGAAAUAAAUUAAGUCUUCCCCUGA